rnacentral:rRNA from 1 species
ACGAACGCUGGCGGCAGGCCUAACACAUGCAAGUCGAGCGGGACCUUCGGGUCCAGCGGCGGACGGGUGAGUAACGCGUGGGAAUAUGCCCUUCUCUACGGAAUAGCCUCGGGAAACUGGGAGUAAUACCGUAUACGCCCUUUGGGGGAAAGAUUUAUCGGGGAAGGAUUAGCCCGCGUUGGAUUAGGUAGUUGGUGGGGUAAUGGCCUACCAAGCCGACGAUCCAUAGCUGGUUUGAGAGGAUGAUCAGCCACACUGGGACUGAGACACGGCCCAGACUCCUACGGGAGGCAGCAGUGGGGAAUCUUAGACAAUGGGGGCAACCCUGAUCUAGCCAUGCCGCGUGAGUGAUGAAGGCCUUAGGGUUGUAAAGCUCUUUCAGCUGGGAAGAUAAUGACGGUACCAGCAGAAGAAGCCCCGGCUAACUCCGU